rnacentral:rRNA from 1 species
UACGUAGGUCCCGAGCGUUGUCCGGAUUUAUUGGGCGUAAAGCGAGCGCAGGUGGUUUAUUAAGUCUGGUGUAAAAGGCAGUGGCCCAACCAUUGUAUGCAUUGGAAACUGGUAGACUUGAGUGCAAGAGAGGAGAGUGGAAUUCCAUGUGUAGCGGUGAAAUGCGUAGAUAUAUGGAGGAACACCGGUGGCGAAAGCGGCUCUCUGGCCUGUAACUGACACUGAGGCUCGAAAGCGUGGGGAGCAAACAGG